GCAAACUCACUCCAAAGAGGGAGAGUCCAGAAAGACCCAUCAGGUGGAUUCUUUACCAGCUGAGCCACAGGAGAAGCCCACUUCUUCCUUGAAGACACAGACAAACGGCUCAUCCUGACCCAGCCUGGCAGCCUCUAGGACAAGGCCAACUCUGAUGACCAAUGCCAGCGCACACCCUCCCAUGGUGAGGCCUAAAACCUCCAGCCUGGACCACGCACACAAGUUCUGCAGGCCCACAGCCAUGUGGUGCACAAGGGGGGAUGGUGUGGGGGUUCUUGACUCCCUGUCUGUGGCAGCCCCAAACCCCACCUCCAGGGCUUUGGAGGCUUCACACCUUUCCUCCCCUGGCCUAUGAUAUUCUUUCCCAUGAAAGGAUUGAAGCUCCUUCAUCCUUCAUCCAAGGCAGACUUGACCAGCUCAGCUGGAGCCCUCACUGCUCUGGAAGAUGCCCAGAGAUCUGAACCUGAAGCUAGAAGAGGCCAGCCCCCACCUCAAGGAGUGGGGAGGAAGUUCAGAGCCACAGACUCACUGGAUGAUACAGGAGGGGUGCUGGCCCCCAAAGUAAGGCCUCCCACACUGAGCCAUGAGGGCAGCUGGUUGGUGCCCCAUACUCAAGCCUUGUGUAGCCCCUUGUUCAAACCAGGAAGCCCAGUGGCUUCACAGGGCAGUUAGUGAAAGCUUUGUGGGGUGGUGGGACAACGGGUGAAUGAAACCUGGAUGAUCAGACCCUCUGACUGUGGCCCGGGCCUACUGCUUCCUUCACCCUGGAGAGGUGGAGGCCCAAGAGAGCCCCUCUGUUUUUAUGCAGUUUGAGGUGCCUCCUUCCCAGCCCUCUGGUCCCUUUUGUCCCCUUGUGCUGAAGAUGCAGGGAGCAAAGAGCACUCCAAGUGGGCCUGAGAUGGGAGAGCCACACAGGCAUGGCUGUCCACACACUCUCCCCACCUGGAAUCUUCAUCACUCACCUCCUGCCCAGCGCCCACCUUCUCUCUCACCAUUCCCUCCCAUCCCCUCCUGAGUUCCAGCCAGAACCGCCCAGUGACCACAUCUGAACAUGCCAGGCUCCUGCAGACCUCACAGAUGUGGCCUAGCCACCCCAGGCCCAGGUGAGACACCUGGUCUACAGAGCUCCCUCUGUGAGGGCGGGACCACAUCUUGCUCUUUGAACCCCCUCAGUGCCGGCCACAAAGUUCUGGGUUCAGAGUACAUGUUCACAAAAUACGGAACAACUUUAUUAGCACCAGCUGUGUAACCCGCAGUCUGCACCGUCCAAGGCACAAUGCUGUUAGUCUUUGGCAACUUAACAAGCCAGGAGGAGAAACUCAGAGACCAACCCCACCGGACAAGAGAGGAGCUCACUGAAUUGGACACACAAAUAAACAAGAUUUAAGAAAAUAGAAGAGUAACAAAAUGCAACUAGAGUUUCUACUACCUCCAGAGUGAGGCAUGCCCACCGAUUUAUUUGUCUGAAUGCAGGAUAAAAAUGUUCUGUUUAUAUAUAUUUUUAGCUUUUAACUAUGCUAUGCUUAUAUUUCUGAAAGUUCUAAUGAGCAUGAUAUAUUUGGGUAGCAAUUCAUGCCACAUAAUUUAAAAUAUGUAUUUAUUGGAGGGCGUGCUGAAAGACAUUUUACUAAUCAGAAUAUUGGAUUAAAAUGGGCUUAAACUGUGUUGGGUGAGAGCCUGCUGGUGGAGGGAGGAUCAGGAGGGCUUUCUAGGGGUCUGGACCCCCUAUCCCCUGCCCUCCAUAAAGGACACAACCCCCCAGAGCUCUCAUUCCUUCCCAGAAGAUGGGGCCUGCCUGUCUGCUCCGACUAGCCACCUGCUGCUCCAGCUCCUGUGAUCCAGAGCCAUGACCCCCCGGGCCUAGGCAGUGAGCAUGGACCUGGCUCUCAGAGUGUCCUGCCCCCUUUGCUGAGGGCUUCACCCCUGACUCUAGGAAGAUGUGCUCCAUUACUGGAAGGGGCCUCAGCCCCGCCCACCUGGGAGAGUAGUUCCAGUGUGGGGAAUGCAGAUGGAAUGGUUUUCUGUUCUGCUUUCCUAACAAAAACCCCUUGGAAUUUAUGUCCCUGCACAUACCGUUCCACGUUUCUGCUCACAUUCUUCCUCCUGCUGCCUAGAAACCUUUAAAUUUGCAAACAGCCCUGCCACGGCAUUUGGGAGGUCAGA